GCAGUCGAGCGCGCCCUUCGGGGUGAGCGGCGGACGGGUGAGUAACGCGUGGGAACGUGCCCUUUGCUGCGGAAUAGCCACUGGAAACGGUGAGUAAUACCGCAUGAGCCCUUCGGGGGAAAGAUUUAUCGGCAAGGGAUCGGCCCGCGUUGGAUUAGGUAGUUGGUGGGGUAAUGGCCUACCAAGCCGACGAUCCAUAGCUGGUUUCAGAGGAUGAUCAGCCACACUGGGACUGAGACACGGCCCAGACUCCUACGGGAGGCAGCAGUGGGGAAUCUUAGACAAUGGGCGCAAGCCUGAUCUAGCCAUGCCGCGUGAGUGACGAAGGCCCUAGGGUCGUAAAGCUCUUUCGCCUGUGAAGAUAAUGACGGUAGCAGGUGAAGAAACCCCGGCUAACUCCGUGCCAGCAGCCGCGGUAAUACGGAGGGGGUUAGCGUUGUUCGGAAUUACUGGGCGUAAAGCGCGCGUAGGCGGACCACCAAGUUGGGGGUGAAAUCCCGGGGCUCAACCCCGGAACUGCCUCCAAAACUGGCGGUCUGGAGUUCGAGAGAGGUGAGUGGAAUUCCGAGUGUAGAGGUGAAAUUCGUAGAUAUUCGGAGGAACACCAGUGGCGAAGGCGGCUCACUGGCUCGAGACUGACGCUGAGGUGCGAAAGUGUGGGGAGCAAACAGGAUUAGAUACCCUGGUAGUCCACACCGUAUACGAUGAAUGCCAGUCGUCGGCAAGCAUGCUUGUCGGUGACACACCUAACGGAUUAAGCAUUCCGCCUGGGGAGUACGGCCGCAAGGUUACAACUCAAAGGAAUUGACGGAA
rnacentral:rRNA from 1 species